UACGUAGGUGACCAGCGUUGUCCGGAUUUACUGGGCGUAAAGAGCGCGCAGGCGGUCGUUCAAGUCGAGUGUGAAAGCCCCCGGCUCAACUGGGGAGGGUCAUUCGAUACUGAUCGACUCGAAGGCAGGAGGGGGAAGUGGAAUUCCCGGUGUAGUGGUGAAAUGCGUAGAUAUCGGGAGGAACACCAGUGGCGAAGGCGACUUCCUGGCCUGUUCUUGACGCUGAGGCGCGAAAGCUAGGGGAGCAAACGGG
rnacentral:rRNA from 1 species